GGCGGUGUAGCUCAGCCGGUUAGAGCGAACGGCUCAUAACCGUUAGGUCAAGGGUUCAAGUCCCUUCACCGCCACCA
rnacentral:tRNA from 1 species